rnacentral:rRNA from 1 species
CCUACGGGAGGCAGCAGUGGGGAAUAUUGGACAAUGGGCGCAAGCCUGAUCCAGCCAUGCCGCGUGAGUGAUGAAGGCCUUAGGGUUGUAAAGCUCUUUUGUCCGGGACGAUAAUGACGGUACCGGAAGAAUAAGCCCCGGCUAACUUCGUGCCAGCAGCCGCGGUAAUACGAAGGGGGCUAGCGUUGCUCGGAAUCACUGGGCGUAAAGGGCGCGUAGGCGGCCGAUUAAGUCGGGGGUGAAAGCCUGUGGCUCAACCACAGAAUUGCCUUCGAUACUGGUUGGCUUGAGACCGGAAGAGGACAGCGGAACUGCGAGUGUAGAGGUGAAAUUCGUAGAUAUUCGCAAGAACACCAGUGGCGAAGGCGGCUGUCUGGUCCGGUUCUGACGCUGAGGCGCGAAAGCGUGGGGAGCAAACAGGAUUAGGUACCCUGGUAGUCCACGCCGUAAACGAUGAAUGCCAGCCGUUGGCCUGCUUGCAGGUCAGUGGCGCCGCUAACGCAUUAAGCAUUCCGCCUGGGGAGUACGGUCGCAAGAUUAAAACUCAAAGGAAUUGACGGA